rnacentral:rRNA from 1 species
GUAGGUGGCAAGCGUUGUCCGGGAAUUAUUGGGGCGUAAAGCGCGCGCAGGCGGUCCUUUAAGGUCUGAUGUGAAAGCCCACGGGCUCAACCGUGGAGGGUCAUUGGAAACUGGGGGACUUGAGUACAGAAGAGGAAAGCGGAAUUCCACGUGUAGCGGUGAAAUGCGUAGAGAUGUGGAGGAACACCAGUGGCGAAGGCGGCUUUCUGGUCUGUAACUGACGCCGAGGCGCGAAAGCGUGGGGAGCAAACAGGAUUAGAUGCCCUGGUAGUCCACGCCGUAAACGAUGAGUGCUAAGUGUUAGGGGGUUUCCGCCCCUUAGUGCUGCAGCUAACGCAUUAAGCACUCCGCCUGGGGAGUACGGCCGCAAAGGCUGA